CCACAAUUCUUAUUCUUUAUGAUGUUUUCAUACCAAAUGAUGUUGUGUAUUGUUUAGGGUCCUUGCCACCACUAGACAAAAUGGCAUUGCAAAUUGAACAUGUAGCUGGACUUGAAUGGUCUUCUUUUGACUGAAAGUACUGCAGAACAUCACUUUGCUCAACUCACCACAUCCAUGUCCACAUCCUCA